CGAGGUGGCAAGCGUUGUUCGGAAUCACUGGGCAUAAAGGGCGCGUAGGCGGUUGGUCAAGUCGGUUGUGAAAGCCCUCGGCUCAACCGAGGAACUGCAUCCGAUACUGGCUGGCUAGAGUAUGGUAGGGGAGAGUGGAACUCCUGGUGGAGCGGUGAAAUGCGUAGAUAUCAGGAGGAACGCCGGUGGCGAAAGCGACUCUCUGGACCACAACUGACGCUGAGGCGCGAAAGCUAGGGGAGCGAACGGGAUUAGAGACCCGAGUAGUCC
rnacentral:rRNA from 1 species